GAAACCUUUAAAGGAAGUCCCGUGAGGCUUAAAAGGUUCGUAAUGGAUAAACGUGUGAUAGCCACACGUCUACCUCUUUGCGUACUUUUUAAGCGCAAAGAGGUUUUUUUA
rnacentral:sRNA from 1 species